UGCAUCAAAAAUCGUCGACGUCCAAAUCGUCGACUUCUAUCGUUUUUAUCGACUAUCGUUCAUUUCCGACUAGUUGCAUUGGUAUUAGUGACAACAUGGAAUUUGAUAAUCCAAAAUAAAACGAUCAAUCGCGCACAAGCUGAAGCAUCGUUCUUCAGGUGGUUCUCGCAGUACUGUUUAUACGAAACUUUUACCGAGAAUUAUUACACGUUUUUAUUUUGAAUUUAAUUUUUAUACCUAUUGCCUGUGAGGACAACAAAUCCGAAGACGAGAUGCUCGUGGUGAUGCCGGACAAAUUGACAUACGGAGAGUCCGGAAGCUGCUUUCAUGAAUCCAGAUUGUACCUCACAUCGGUUGGCGAGCUGGAAUUGGAUUGGAUCGUGGCUUUGAUAUCGAGCUGGACGACAAUGUUGCCGCUUGGUGCGAGAGCUUCCCCGAUAAUUGUAAGACAUUCAAGGGACCGCUGAUUUGCCAGCGACUGCAGAUAUCCUAUAUGAACACGCGAAAUCCAUAUAAGUGGUCACUGAAUCUGUGUGCUGACUGUCCGGACCGUAUAGCAAUUAGCUGUCGUACACGGAGCAGGAGGAAAUGCUGCCUAGUGUUCUGGUUAAUUGUGGACUACGGUCUCGCGAGUUUUUUUAUCCCGAUAGUACAAAGUACGGGCGAUAAUUGCUCGAAAGCACAGAGGCUGGCAAGAUUGCGUUUAGAACUGGAUCUGUUAGAUGGAUUCGAUGAGCACGACUGUGAUGCCACUGUUUAUGCAACACGAUAUCGAUUGCGGAAGACUGCCUGAACAUGGCCGUAAUGUUGCAGAGGCUCGUCGUCGGGACACUGUUUCGGAAACAGAACGCGAACUGCAGCUGGAACUGGUGUGUCUGUUCCAACUUUAAGGAACAACCGGAGGCUAUCCAUUGGGCCUCCCCCAAUCUUCCCCUACUUUGCUGAGAAACCAGUAACUACUCGGCAAGACAUCGAGGGCGAACAAUGGGAUGCCCGCGAGAGUGAACCCGCGCAUGCGCUCCGGCUGGACGAAUUCCAGGUUCAUCUGGUGGACACGAAGGACAAAAUUUCUCGCCAUGCUAUCGGAACUCAGCCGGCAGUCGGUGAUUACCGACCUUAACCGGUGCAAACAAGAUUUCCCACAUUCAGCUGGCCACGUGGGACGAUGUGUACAUGAUCCAUAUGCUGGUCAGCCAGCUGGAGCCGUCGGAUUGAGCUACCUUGUUGAAGAAUGUGUUCAACCAGGAUUUUCUAAGCUGUCGUUGGCUACUUCCAUCAAUAUUCCCAUGUUCAGAAAGCAAUGCUGUCUUUCAAUGUGAUGUAAGUAUAGGAAUAAAUCCUCGAAGACAUCGGCGAUACACUAGGUGUUUGUUUUACACGGGGGAUACCUAUAGGUAUACCGUGUAAAAAACUGAGGGAAAUCUGAAAAUAUUGAAAAUGUCCUCACCUUCAGAUAUCCGAGGAUUGAUUCAGAGAGUUCAGGCAGAAAGAGAGGGGAUAAUGUAGCAAGGGUGGGUUCUUGGGGUUAGUGUGGAGGGGGGCAAGGGAUGAUUGAAGGGUUUGGAGGAGAGAAUGGAGUACUGGUUUUAAGGAGGGUUUCAGAGGAUUUUUAGAAAUGUUGAAGGUAUAGACGAACGAAGCUUAAGAUCAAGGAGACUGUCACGAAGUGUUCAAGAGUAUAUAAGGCUUUGUUUGGGUGGGACAUAAGGUUCAGGAGUGUAGGGGUGUUCCAGGAAAUUUUUAUCAGAUCUACAUAGGUUUUCUAUGGAUUUUUGUUAUCACUCUGCAGAUGCGCAACAUUCUAUAGGUCUAUGCAACAUGGUUCAUUAGAGAGUUAUGUCCUUAAAUGUUGAAGGUCCUCCAUAAACUCUCGCGAAUAUAGGCAUCAAGGUCUACAAGCGUAAUCAACAGAUUUUUUUUUACUUAAUCAUUUAUUUAAGGCUCAUGCGCCAACAGGCAUAACGGAGCCGAUUGCAUUGUUCUUUAAAGAGAAAAAUUCCAAAGAUAUUCUAGGUCCUCCAAGGACUUCCGCGAGUAAAGGUCUUAAGAUCUACAAGGGUAAUCGAUAGAUUAUAUACACCAGAGGUUCCCAAACAUCUUUUAACAGAGAAUUUUUAUUAUUUUCGAACAAUUUUUAAUUCAAACAUUUAAAUGCAAAAUUGUGAAGAACUUUCAGUACCUUGUUUCCUCAAAAUCCAAUUAAAACUGAAUUUCUUGGGUCAAAACGUGUUUUCAAUAAAAAAUGCUUUAAUUUAUCAUAAAUAUUUGUUAGAUUUCAAAUGUCAUAUUUAUUUAUUAAACAAAGCAAACCAAUAUGUCAAAAAUUUCUCCAGAUAAAGCGAGCUGCUAAUGCCUCAUAAUUCAAGAAAAAAAGACAGUAAAACUGUUGCAAUGCUUUAAUGAUUUCGGGUACAUUUAAAUUAUUUCACUGAAUUUAAGGUUUUUAAUUUUUGUUGAAAUUACAAAAUUUUCAAAAACGGUUUGUUAAGAAGGUAGUGUGGUAAAUUUCAGCAAACUUAAGUACACAAAUAUAAUGUUCAGGACUAGGCUGAUGAUAGAUCAUUCAUUUCCAUGCAUUUGGUCAUGAUGUCUUGAGAAAAGCUUGAAGGUCUUUCCUUAACAUAAAUUUUGGAUGACUAUUAAUUUCGUCCAACAAUGGGGCACGUUCGGUGUAGUACUAGAUUUGUAGUAAUGAGCUGAAUUUUUGUAUGGUGAGAAGGUCAAGUCUCCGUUUCUGCAAUAAAAUGGUGCAAAAGCGUGGGUAUUAUGAUUCCUUGCCUAAUUUGAUGCCGUUUGAGCAAAACUUUGGAUAACUAUAUUAUUUAAGUUGCAAGAAAUGGAGAAAAUAACAACACUGUUGCCCAAAGUUUUGCUCAAACAGCAUCAAAUUAGGCAAGGAAUCAUAAUACCCACGCUUUUUGCACCAUUUCAUUGCAGAAACGGAGAAUUGACCUUCUCACCAUACUAAAAUUCAGCUCAUUACUUCAAAUCUAGUACUUCACCGAUCUGUCCUAUUGAAAAAAAAGUGCCUUUGGUGCAAAAACUUUAUAAAAAAUUUCUGAAUGUCGAUCAAAAGUUACUUACCUUUUUCAAAAUUUUCCAUUAAAGACAAGGUAUUUGGAGUACACAGCUCCAAUAACAUCAUUUUCGAGAUAUGAUUUACUUGCACAUAACCAAAAAUUUGCAGAAGUAUUCUGUGAUAGUGACGUUAGUAAAAAAUGCCGUCCCGAAAAGCAGAAUACAACAUAAAGACUGGGAAGUUAUUCUGGGUAAUAGGAUUUUUGAAAUAUUUACUUUCAGUUACCUACAAGCUGUUGGUAGAAUCAAAAACUGAACUGGAGUAUAGAAAAUCCAAUCAUCUAUUUUUGAAUCUUAACCAAGAAUUUGAAUCUUAACCAAGAAACUCCGAGAAAUUAAAUAUUUGAUAAAAAUCAAAAUUUAAAUUGUUUAAGAGGAUACCAGAAUUCCAAGAAUAUUCGAAGGUUGGUAUAA